AUGUCGAGGACGGACACGCCCGGAAGCCGAGGGGAAGACGGGCUUCGUGGACGACUUGGCCUCGCGACGCAGGCCAGCGCCUGCCUGACCACCCCAGCCGGGACGUCGCGGAAGGUGAGCCCGGGGAGGCGCGCCCAGAGGCCGCGCCACCGGCGCGCGAGGACGCUGGUGCGCGCGGCGGCGCGGGCGCAGCCCAGCCGCCCGAGGAUCUGGAGGAGCAUGUCCUCCGGGAGCGCGCUGAUGCGGUCGCCUCCGUCCGGGCCACCACCGGAGCCUGCUCCAUCCGGCGGCGGCGCCGAGCGCCUGAUGCGGCGCGCCGAUGGGAACUCCAUUCGCGAGGGAAAAAUGAAACGAAACCCUAAGCACGCGACCCCGCGUCAAUAA
rnacentral:rRNA from 1 species